GGAGGUUAAGGGGUUGCAAACCCUCUGAUACUGACUCCAGCUUCAGCAGGAAAGGAGUUGGAUGAGUUAGAAUGAGAUGCAUUGUCCUGGCUAACAGGAUCAUGGCUUCAGGAAGAUGAUGUGAUAUGCAAGUGAACUGGACUUAUGUGAGGGUGACUCACUUUCUCCUUGGGAACCAUCUGGGUCCAGUGGAAGGAAAUAGAUCAGGAUGACUGGAAAUGGCCCCGGAUGGAGAUACGGUUUGGACUCAGUGACGUCUGAGGUCUGUCCCUUUUAACACCAAGAUUCUUAUUUGAUGACAGCAAACAAAUCCUGCUGUGUGAAUGCAGAGAAGUCCCACGGCCCAGCUGCGACACUGCUGAGAGGAGAGACAGAUCAGGAGAGGGUGUAAAAGUGAUCAAUGGCAGACAGAUAUGGGAUUGAGGAGACCACUGCUACCCCCCUACUUGUGUUGAAGAGAAGCACUGAGCACAAACCUGCAAGAAGUCCACCAUAGUGCCCAAGAAGUGGCAAUACCUCUAACUGGCAGGGAUUGUGACUGAACCUCUGAAAUCAGGGAAGGAAAUGGAGCUCACCAGAUAGUGAGUAUAAUGAUUACCUUCUCUGUUCUUUACUGCCCUUAAUAAACCUGUUCUAUGUUUAACAUUCUGGUUAAUCCGAUGCUUUGGGGGAAUUGAAAUGCUUAAAGACAAAGACACAAGCCAGAACCUGAUGUUCCCUGGGGUAACCUUAAGUGGGGAUAUGAACCAUAGAAACUCUUAGAGAGAAACUUCAGAGAUUUAACCUGGACGAUCUUUGAGUUCAGAUUCUGACAUUCAGGUUAUACAUUAUGAAUGCACCAGAGAUUCAUAGCAUAGGAAAUAUGCUGUGUGAAAUUCAAGUAAGAAAGUUUUCACUGAAUAAGAGAGUCAGAUAAGAGAUAUAGUGAUUGAACUGAGCUUAAAGAAGGGAAAAAAAUUAACAGAGAAGGGGAGAAAUGCAAUUUAGGCAUAAGGAAUAGCAAGGACACUGGAAGACCUCAGCUAUUCUGUUCUCUAAUCGGUGUCAUCAGAUUGGAGCAUAGUUUGUGUGUGGGAAAGUAAAGCGAGAUAAGUUUAGAGAAAUAGAAUAGAUGCUAUACUGCAGAGAGCCUUGAAUGUCAGAUAAGGGAAUUUGGAUUCCUUUGGUAGAAUAAGACUUUCAAGGAUGACCUAUCUGUUAUAAUGGAUAGGUUGAAGUAAGGGGAAGACGGACUACUGUAGGAGUCUAGAUAGGUGUAAAUUUGGGAAUAUAUUAGACUAAUAGUGGGAGUAGAGAGGAAAAAGAUGGUUGGAAUACAAGUUCAGAGAGCGAAUCAACUGGAUGUGGUAAUUUAUUAGACAUGAGAAAGAGAGAGAAAAAGGGAAGAAUCAAGGGAAGAAUCAGUCAAUAAGCAUUUGCUAAAUGCCUUCUACAUAUCAAAGAGUAUGCUAAGAGUUGAGUACACACAAAAAAGGCAGGGCACCAUCCUUAUUUUCAAGGACCUUACAAUCUACAGACAACACACUAACACUUACGUAUAAAUAAGUUAUAUGCAAGAUAAAUUGGAGAUAUUCUCAGGGAGAAGGCAUCAGGAAUAAGGGUGCCUGGCAAAGGUCUUUUGCAAAAGAUAAGACUUUAUUUGAUGCUUAAAGGAAAACAGGAGGUAGAAAUGAAGAGGGAGAGAAUUUCAGACAUAGGGGCCAGCCUGUGAAAAUGCCUCCAGUUAGAAAAUGGAAUAUUUUGUUUGUGAAAGAGUAAGGAAAGUCAAUGGAUUACAGUAGUGAGGGUGAGUAAGGUAUAAGCCUGGAAAAGUGGGAAAGGCCUGGGUUGUAAAGGGUUUUGAAAGUCAAAUAGGAUUUUCUGUUUUUCCUAGAAGAACUAGGGAGCUACUGAAGUUUAUUAAAUAAAAAGGUGCUUACACCAAUUUGAUAGCAGUGUCAGAGGAGAAAAGAGAGUAUUUGAGAGAUAUUACAAAGGCAGAAAUGACAAGACUUGGUAACAGAUUUACUAUGGGGUGAAGAGUGGCAGAUGGCAUCUAGCUCGCGAGCUUAAGUGACUGGGAAGGUGGUAGUAGUUUGAAUAAUAAUAGGGAAAUUUGGAAGAUUGGAGGGUUUGAAGGGAAAGAUAAUUAGCUCAGUUCUGGAUAUUUUGGAUUUAAGAUGUCUACAGGACAUCCAGCUUAAGAUGGAAAUAUGAGGCAAGGUCAGAAGAGAGAUCAGAACUGGACAAAUGGAUCUGAGAAACAUCUGCAUUGAUAUGAUAGUUGAAUCUAUGGAAGCUGAUGAGAUCACCAAGUAAAUUAGCACAGAAGAGGGCACAGGACUGAGCUUUGGGAGACACCCAUGGUGAACAGCUGUGACCUGGCUAAAGAUGGUGCAAAGGGAGGAUUGAGAUGGAGCAAUCUGACAGGAAAGAAAAGAAAGGAGAGAGAACAAAGCCACAAAAGCCUAGAGAAAACAAUAAAAAUAAAUAAAGCAAUCUACAGUGUCAAAAACUGCAAGAGAGGUUAAGAAGGAUGAGGGUUGAGAAAAGGAUGUUAGAUUUUGUAAUAAUGAGAUCACUGAUGACUUUGGAGGGAGCAGUUUCAGUUGAAUAAUGAGAUCUGAAGACAAACUGCAAAGGAUUAAGAAGAGAGCAAAGGAAGAGAAUGAUAGUAAUGUGGGAGACUGGAUUUAUGGUAGUGACACAUAGGAAUUGGGAAGGAAGGAAGAGUAGGUUUGGGAAGAAAAAGAACCUUGGUUUGGGAUAUGUUUUCCUUAAGCUUCUGGACACACAAGAAGCUCUUAAUAAGUGUUUGCACAAAAUUAAAACAAUUCUGAGGUACCAUCUCAUAUUUCUCAUAUUUGCUAAGAUGACAGAAAAAGAUAAUAAUAAAUGUUGGAGGAGAUAUGGGAAAACUGGGACACUAAUGCAUUGUUGGUAGAGUUGUGAAAUGAUUCAACCAUACUGGAGAGCAAUUUGGAAUUAUGCCCAAAGACCUAUAAAACUGUGUAUACCCUUUGAUCCAGCAGUCCCAUUACUGAGUCUGUAUUCCAAGGAAAUCAUAAAGGAGGAAAAAGGACCCAGAUGUGCAAAAAUGUUUGUAGCAGCUCUUUUUGUUGUGGUAAAGAAUUGGAAAAUGAGUAGAUGCUCAUCAAAUGAAGAAUGACUGAACAAGUUAUGGUACAUGAAGAUAAUGGAAUAUUACUGUUCAAUAAAAAAUGAUGAACAAGCUGAUUUUAAAAGGGCCUGAAAAGAUUUACAUGAACUGAAGCUGAGCAAAAUAAGCAGAAUCAGGAAAACAUUCUACAUGAUAAUAGCAAGAAUAUGAGAUGAUCAACUAUGAAGAAUUUGGUUCUUCUCAGUGGGUCAGUGAUCCAAAGCAACCCCAAUAGAUUUUGGACAGAAAAUAUCAUCUGCAUCCAGAAAAGGAACUAAGGAAACAAUAUAAAUCAACAUAUGCUAAAGUCACUUCUUUUUUUAAUUUAAAAAAAAUCUCUUUCAUGGUUUUUUGCUCGGAUUUUUCUCUCCCAACAUGAUUCAUAAAGCAAUGUGUAUUAAAAAAUAAAUUUACUAGAAAAAAAAUGUUUUCAUUAAAAAAAAGUUUGUAGCAUCCUUUUUUGUAGUGGCAAGGAAAUGGAAACUGAAUGGAAGGCUAUUAGUUGGAGAAGGUCUGAAUAAGUUAUGGUAUAUGAAUGUUAUGGAAUAUUACUGUUCGAUAAGAAAUGAUCAGCAGGAUGAUUUCAGAAAGGCCUGGAGAGACUUGUAUGAACUGAUUCUGAGCAAAGUGAAUGGAAUCAAGAGAACAUUGUACACAGUAACAACAAGUUUAUGUGAUGAUCAGUUCUGAUAGAUGUGACUUUUCAACAAGGAGUGAUUCAGGCCAAUUACAAUAGAUUUAUGAUGAAGAGAGCCAUCUACAUCCAGAAAGAGUAUUGUCAAGAAUGUGGAUCAUGACAUAGUUUUUUCACCUUUUUUGUUGUUGUUUGCUUGCUUUUUGUUUUCUUUCUCAUUUUUUCCUUUUUAAUCUGAUUUUUGUUGUUCAGUGAGAUAAAUGUGGAAAUAUGUAUAGAAGAAUUGUACAUAUUUAAUAUAUAUUGGAUUGCUUGCUGUCUAGGGGAGGUGGGUGGGGCAAAGGAGUGAGAAAAAUUUGGAACCCAAGGUUUUGCAAUUUUUUUUGGCAUAUAUUUUGAAAAUAAAAAGCUAUUAUUUUUUAAAAAUUAAGUGUUUGUAUAAUGGAAUUGAAUUCAACUUCAGCAAUUCUGCUCUAUCUUCUCCAUAAAAAAGGAACAAGGGAGUAACGAAAGGAAAGAAAAAUUCUGAGUUUGUGCUUUUUCAUUGAGGAAUGACUAAAUUUAUGGUGGUAUCUGAGUGUCACAAUAAGAAAUGAUAAAUACAAAGAAAAAAUGGGAAGAUUUGUGGAAUAGAAACUGAGAAAAGUAGGUAAAAUCAAAGUAAGAGUCUUAUAAUUUGUCCUACUAAAUGAAGACACUGAGGAAGCUCAAAUCCUCUUAAUUGCUUAGAUAAUUCAAGGCCUUUGGAAAAAGUCAAAAGCCCCAUGCCCAGCUGGUAAGGAAUCUAAAUAUCCACUAGCCUUCCAAUUCUCCAGGCAUUCCCAUUUCAUCCUGACACAAGUCAGUACCUAACCUUUGGCUUGUACUCCAUGUCUGGACUCCUUGGUCCUUGUCCUCAAUGUCUGGUACUUCUCAACUCAAAAAAGAACCUUACAAAAACUCUCUGAGUUUUAUUGAUUUGGUUACCCCCUUUUCACCAGGCUUUUCUUUCCUUUUGAAUAGUAUUUUAUUUUCCUAAAUAUAUGUAAAGAUAGUUUUCAACAUUCUCCUUUGCAAAACCUUGUGUUCCAAAUUUUCCUUCCUCUCCACCCACCCAAGACAGCAAGCAAUCCAAUGUAAAUUAAAUGUGUGCAAUUCUUCUAAACAUAUUUCCAUAUUCCUCAUACUAUGUAAGAAAAAUCAGAUCAAAAGGGAAAAAAACACAGGAAAAAAAAUUACUAAGCAAAUAAACAACAACAACAACAAAGUCCACAAGGCUUUUCUCCAGAACCUGAUCUUCUAGCUUUCCUCACUGUCUUUUGUAAGUGUGAAUAUUUUCCCUUUAUAAAGCUGCUCUCUCUCAUCCUAUGUUAUGUUCUGUUCUUCCAUACUCAGUUCCCUCCUAUUAUGGCAUCCUAGAACCCUGAAUCUCAUUCAAAUUACAUUAAGAUAACCAGGAAAGGAUGGAUAAAGUGCUGCAUCUAGAAUCAGGAAGUCUUGAAUUCAAAUUUGACCUCAGAUACAUACUAGCAGUAUGACACUUACACAGUUUGCCUCAAUUUCCUCAUCUGUAAAAUGAGCUUGAGAAGAAAAUAGCAAAAAACAAACCAAAAAACCGCUCUAGUGUCUUUGCUAAAAAAAAAAAACAAACAAACAAACAAACAAACAAAAAAAAAAAAACAAAAGGAAUCACAAAGAAUCAGACAUGACUGAAAAUGACUAAACACCCCUGAAGUCAGGAGGACCUAAGUUCAAGUCUGGUCUCAGACACUUAACACUUCCUAACUGUGUGACCCUGGGCAAGUCACUUAAAUCCCUUUGUGUCAGCAAAAAAAAAAGAAAAGAAGAGAAAAAAAGAGUAAA